rnacentral:rRNA from 1 species
GUGGGGAAUAUUGGACAAUGGGCGAAAGCCUGAUCCAGCAAUGCCGCGUGAGUGAUGAAGGCCUUAGGGUUGUAAAGCUCUUUUACCAGGGAUGAUAAUGACAGUACCUGGAGAAUAAGCUCCGGCUAACUCCGUGCCAGCAGCCGCGGUAAUACGGAGGGAGCUAGCGUUGUUCGGAAUUACUGGGCGUAAAGAGUACGUAGGCGGUGAUUCAAGUCAGAGGUGAAAGCCUGGAGCUCAACUCCAGAACUGCCUUUGAAACUAGAUCGCUAGAAUUAUGGAGAGGUUAGUGGAAUUCCGAGUGUAGAGGUGAAAUUCGUAGAUAUUCGGAAGAACACCAGUGGCGAAGGCGACUAACUGGACAUAUAUUGACGCUGAGGUACGAAAGCGUGGGGAGCAAACAGGAUUAGAUACCCUAGUAGUCC